rnacentral:rRNA from 1 species
AGUGAACGCUGGCGGUAGGCCUAACACAUGCAAGUCGAACGGCAGCACAGUAAGAGCUUGCUCUUACGGGUGGCGAGUGGCGGACGGGUGAGGAAUACAUCGGAAUCUACUUUUUCGUGGGGGAUAACGUAGGGAGACUUACGCUAAUACCGCAUACGACCUACGGGUGAAAGCAGGGGAUCUUCGGACCUUGCGCGAUUGAAUGAGCCGAUGUCGGAUUAGCUAGUUGGCGGGGUAAAGGCCCACCAAGGCGACGAUCCGUAGCUGGUCUGAGAGGAUGAUCAGCCACACUGGAACUGAGACACGGUCCAGACUCCUACGGGAGGCAGCAGUGGGGAAUAUUGGACAAUGGGCGCAAGCCUGAUCCAGACAUACCGCGUGGGUGAAGAAGGCCUUCGGGUUGUAAAGCCCUUUUGUUGGGAAAGAAAAGCAGCAGGUUAAUACCCCGCUGUUCUGACGGUACCCAAAGAAUAAGCACCGGCUAACUUCGUG